rnacentral:rRNA from 1 species
UACGUAGGGAGCAAGCGUUGUCCGGAAUCAUUGGGCGUAAAGCGCGCGUAGGUGGCCCCAUAAGUCCGCUGUGAAAGUCAAAGGCUCAACCUUUGAAAGCCGGUGGAUACUGUGGGACUAGAGUACGGAAGAGGCGAGUGGAAUUCCUGGUGUAGCGGUGGAAUGCGCAGAUAGUCAGGAGGAACACCCGUAGCGAAGGCGGCACUCUGGGCCGGAAACUGACGCUGAGGAGCGAAAGCGUGGGUAGCAAACAGG